rnacentral:rRNA from 1 species
UACGUAGGGUGCGAGCGUUGUCCGGAAUUAUUGGGCGUAAAGGGCUCGUAGGCGGUCUGUUGCGUCAGGAGUGAAAACUCGGGGGCUUAACCCCCGAGCCUGCUUCUGAUACGGGCAGACUAGAGGUAUGCAGGGGGAGAACGGAAUUCCUGGUGUAGCGGUGAAAUGCGCAGAUAUCAGGAGGAACACCGGUGGCGAAGGCGGUUCUCUGGGCAUUACCUGACGCUGAGGAGCGAAAAGUGUGGGGGAGCGAACAGG